rnacentral:rRNA from 1 species
CCAAUAGCGUAUAUUAAAGUUGUUGCAGUUAAAAAGCUCGUAGUUGAAUUUUGGAAUCAAUAGGUUGGUCACGCCAUUCGGUGUGUACUGGCUUAAUUGGUUCUCACCUUCUAAGGAACUGUGAUGUCAUUAAUUUGGUGUCGCGGGAAAUUAGGACUGUUACCUUGAAAAAAUUAGAGUGUUUAAAGCAAGCUUAUGCUCGAAUACAUUAGCAUGGAAUAAUGAAAUAGGACAUCGUAUUCUAUUUUGUUGGUUUCUAGGAUCGAUGUAAUGAUUAAUAGGGAUAGUUGGGGGCAUUAGUAUUCAAUUGUCAGAGGUGAAAUUCUUGGAUUUAUUGAAGACUAACUACUGCGAAAGCAUUUGCCAAGGAUGUUUUCAUUAAUCAAGAACGAAAGUUAGGGGAUCGAAGACGAUCAGAUACCGUCGUAGUCUUAACCAUAAACUAUGCCGACUAGGGAUCGGAUGAUGUUAAUUUUAUAGUGACUCAUUCGGCACCUUACG